UUUAUUACCCAAAAUGAAAACCCAUCCUCUCCAUCUUCUAAAAAUCCCUAACAUCGACUCUUCUAAAGGCUGCAGACGGCUGAAGAUUUACAAACUGGAAAACAAGAGUAGUUAAUCUGAGCAGACAGGUGUGGAUUUAGUGGCUGAGCUGGUGGUGUGAAUUUGGGUCCAAAAGGAGGGAAUGUAAUGCUUGGAAAUAAGUAUGAUUCUCCCAAGAUUGUUAAUGAUGAUGAAAUUGUUCUUAAAAAGAUUAAGGCUAAGGGAACCUUGAUGCAAAUGGUGGGUGCAAAUUGGUGGAAGUCUAACAACGAGAAGAUGAUAUUGGUAGUCGGCCUGGGGGCAUUGUUUAGGUUUUUCUUUUAUUCAAUGAAAAUACAGUGAUCAUAUUGUUUUGGCUCGAGCCUACUUCAAUUUCCUACAAAGCUGCUAUCCAAAUGCUU